rfam:Apaloderma vittatum contig3594, whole genome shotgun sequence.
GGCCGGUUAGCUCAGUCAGUUGAGCGUGGCGCUAACAACGUUAAGGUGGUGGGUUCGAUUCCCCUUCAGUCCC